rnacentral:rRNA from 1 species
GGGUUGUGAGGUUAAGCGACUAAGCGUACACGGUGGAUGCCCUGGCAGUCAGAGGCGAUGAAGGACGUGCUAAUCUGCGAUAAGCGUCGGUGAGGUGAUAUGAACCGUUAUAACCGGCGAUUUCCGAAUGGGGAAACCCAGUGUGUUUCGACACACUAUCAUUAACUGAAUCCAUAGGUUAAUGAGGCGAACCGGGGGAACUGAAACAUCUAAGUACCCCGAGGAAAAGAAAUCAACCGAGAUUCCCCCAGUAGCGGCGAGCGAACGGGGAGGAGCCCAGAGCCUGAAUCAGUGUGUGUGUUAGUGGAAGCGUCUGGAAAGGCGUGCGAUACAGGGUGACAGCCCCGUACACAAAAAUGCACAUAUUGUGAGCUCGAUGAGUAGGGCGGGACACGUGGUAUCCUGUCUGAAUAUGGGGGGACCAUCCUCCAAGGCUAAAUACUCCUGACUGACCGAUAGUGAACCAGUACCGUGAGGGAAAGGCGAAAAGAACCCCGGCGAGGGGAGUGAAAAAGAACCUGAAACCGUGUACGUACAAGCAGUGGGAGCCUCUUAAUGGGGUGACUGCGUACCUUUUGUAUAAUGGGUCAGCGACUUAUAUUCUGUAGCAAGGUUAACCGAAUAGGGGAGCCGAAGGGAAACCGAGUCUUAACUGGGCGUUAAGUUGCAGGGUAUAGACCCGAAACCCGGUGAUCUAGCCAUGGGCAGGUUGAAGGUUGGGUAACACUAACUGGAGGACCGAACCGACUAAUGUUGAAAAAUUAGCGGAUGACUUGUGGCUGGGGGUGAAAGGCCAAUCAAACCGGGAGAUAGCUGGUUCUCCCCGAAAGCUAUUUAGGUAGCGCCUCGUGAAUUCAUCUCCGGGGGUAGAGCACUGUUUCGGCAAGGGGGUCAUCCCGACUUACCAACCCGAUGCAAACUGCGAAUACCGGAGAAUGUUAUCACGGGAGACACACGGCGGGUGCUAACGUCCGUCGUGAAGAGGGAAACAACCCAGACCGCCAGCUAAGGUCCCAAAGUCAUGGUUAAGUGGGAAACGAUGUGGGAAGGCCCAGACAGCCAGGAUGUUGGCUUAGAAGCAGCCAUCAUUUAAAGAAAGCGUAAUAGCUCACUGGUCGAGUCGGCCUGCGCGGAAGAUGUAACGGGGCUAAACCAUGCACCGAAGCUGCGGCAGCGACACUAUGUGUUGUUGGGUAGGGGAGCGUUCUGUAAGCCUGUGAAGGUGGCCUGUGAGGGUUGCUGGAGGUAUCAGAAGUGCGAAUGCUGACAUAAGUAACGAUAAAGCGGGUGAAAAGCCCGCUCGCCGGAAGACCAAGGGUUCCUGUCCAACGUUAAUCGGGGCAGGGUGAGUCGACCCCUAAGGCGAGGCCGAAAGGCGUAGUCGAUGGGAAACAGGUUAAUAUUCCUGUACUUGGUGUUACUGCGAAGGGGGGACGGAGAAGGCUAUGUUGGCCGGGCGACGGUUGUCCCGGUUUAAGCGUGUAGGCUGGUUUUCCAGGCAAAUCCGGAAAACCAAGGCUGAGGCGUGAUGACGAGGCACUACGGUGCUGAAGCGACAAAUGCCCUGCUUCCAGGAAAAGCCUCUAAGCAUCAGGUAACAUCAAAUCGUACCCCAAACCGACACAGGUGGUCAGGUAGAGAAUACCAAGGCGCUUGAGAGAACUCGGGUGAAGGAACUAGGCAAAAUGGUGCCGUAACUUCGGGAGAAGGCACGCUGAUAUGUAGGUGAAGCGACUUGCUCGUGGAGCUGAAAUCAGUCGAAGAUACCAGCUGGCUGCAACUGUUUAUUAAAAACACAGCACUGUGCAAACACGAAAGUGGACGUAUACGGUGUGACGCCUGCCCGGUGCCGGAAGGUUAAUUGAUGGGGUUAGCGG